AGAAUAUGAAGAGGAAGAGAAAGAGGAAGAAGUAGAAGAAGAAGCAGUAGCAGAAGAAAAAGAGAAAGGAGAAGACCAAGCAGCAGCAGAAGUAGAAGAAGAAGCAGUAGCAGAAGAAAAAGAGAAAGGAGAAGACAAAGCAGCAGCAGAAGUAGAAGCAGAAGUAGAAGCAGAAGAAAAAGAGAAGGGAGAAGAAGAAGCAGCGGCAGCGGCAGUCGGUUUCGCCUUUGAUUAGACCCCUACUUUGAUGGAAUAUCAGCUACUAUAUUUAAAGCAAUGGACUGCAAAGACAUUCUUGAAUAUUGCUAAUCUAGUGCUGAAGCUUCCAUGAAGGUUUGUGUACCCCAUCCAUCAUGUCAAUUAUGAUCUUUGAAUCCAUCUCCAGUAUGACAUAGUAUAAGCCCAUAAAAUGAUUGUAUCUCAAGUCAAUUAGUGCAGGCUAGACUUAAUGCCAUGUUGUUAGUGUAGUAGUUGAGCUUUUCUGAGAAGGCAAGCACCAUUGAGCCAUCUUCCCUCUCAUUACGCCUCUCGCUCCUGCUUGCUUCUCUCUCCAUGAAAAGCCUCCAUCUGUAUUGAUAAGCAUGGUGUUCUCAUUACACCAGUAAACUGGAACACCAUAAGUAAUAGGGGAAUAGUGUUUAAAAUGUUUUAUCAAUAGUAACUUGUGUUGAAAAUAAACUGCUAAAUAACUCUAAAUACUGUAGUUUGAGUUUGGCCGUACCUGACAAGCACACUUUCUCUUCCAUAGUUCCUAUGUAACGAAAAUAGGAAGGAUCUUGCAUGAAUUGUUGUACUGAUGCACCCACCAGCUCCAAGAAGGGUUCUAAUCUAGUUAGAAUCCAACCUGAUGCCCAUGGCAUUUGCAAACUAGGUCCACACUCUUAAUUGUCACAUUUUCAAUAAGUGAGAGGUGGU
rnacentral:lncRNA from 1 species